rnacentral:rRNA from 1 species
AGAGAGAGACAUGCGCGCAUAUCAAUAAGCGGAGGAAAAGAAACUAACUAGGAUUCCCCUAGUAACGGCGAGUGAAGCGGGAAGAGCUCAAAUUUGAAAUCUUAAAGGUUUCCCUUGACGAAUUGUAGUUUAAAGAAGUGUUUUCUGUUGGAGGUUUUGGUAAAAGUUCUUUGGAAUAGGACAUCAUAGAGGGUGAGAAUCCCGUAUUUGACCAUUACUUUCAACUUUGUGAUACACUUUCAAAGAGUCGGAUUGUUUGGGAAUGCAGUCCAAAAUGGGUGGUAAAUUUCAUCUAAAGCUAAAUAUUGGCGAGAGACCGAUAGCGAACAAGUACCGUGAGGGAAAGAUGAAAAGAACUUUGAAAAGAGAGUUAAACAGUACGUGAAAUUGUCAAAAGGGAAGCGUUUGACACCAGUGUUGUUUUUCUGAAAAUCAAUUAAAGAACUGUUUAUGCUAAGUUGUUUAGACUUUAUCAGCUAACUGUUUAGUUUUGAGCUUUUCUUUAAUGCACUUUUCAGUUAACAAGUCAACAUCAAUUUCUUUUGCUGUAAAAAAGCUUGAGGAAGGUGGCUUGAGAUUCGUCUUAAGUGUUUAUAGCCUCUUGCCUAUGCAGUCGGAGAGAUUGAGGUCUGCAGCGUAGAUCCUUCGGGGCUAAAUGCAUUUGUGCUAAGUUAUAGCAUUUUAUAGACAACUUGUUGACUAUGAUUUGUCUUGUAGCUUACUCGCUUAUGUUAUUUUACCUACGCUUAGGAUGUUGAGCGCAUGUCUCUCUCU